GUCUGUGUAGUAUAUUAUUAAUUACACUGGUCUUGUAAACCAGAAAAGGAAAUAAACCCCCCAUAGACU
rnacentral:tRNA from 1 species